rnacentral:rRNA from 1 species
GAUGAACGCUGGCGGCGCGCCUAACACAUGCAAGUCGAACGGCACCCCUCUCCGGAGGGAAGCGAGUGGCGAACGGCUGAGUAACACGUGGAGAACCUGCCCCCUCCCCCGGGAUAGCCGCCCGAAAGGACGGGUAAUACCGGAUACCCCCGGGCGCCGCAUGGCGCCCGGGCUAAAGCCCCGACGGGAGGGGAUGGCUCCGCGGCCCAUCAGGUAGACGGCGGGGUGACGGCCCACCGUGCCGACAACGGGUAGCCGGGUUGAGAGACCGACCGGCCAGAUUGGGACUGAGACACGGCCCAGACUCCUACGGGAGGCAGCAGUGGGGAAUCUUGCGCAAUGGGGGGAACCCUGACGCAGCGACGCCGCGUGCGGGACGGAGGCCUUCGGGUCGUAAACCGCUUUCAGCAGGGAAGAGUCAAGACUGUACCUGCAGAAGAAGCCCCGGCUAACUACGUGCCAGCAGCCGCGGUAAUACGUAGGGGGCGAGCGUUAUCCGGAUUCAUUGGGCGUAAAGCGCGCGUAGGCGGCCCGGCAGGCCGGGGGUCGAAGCGGGGGGCUCAACCCCCCGAAGCCCCCGGAACCUCCGCGGCUUGGGUCCGGUAGGGGAGGGUGGAACACCCGGUGUAGCGGUGGAAUGCGCAGAUAUCGGGUGGAACACCGGUGGCGAAGGCGGCCCUCUGGGCCGAGACCGACGCUGAGGCGCGAAAGCUGGGGGAGCGAACAGGAUUAGAUACCCUGGUAGUCCCAGCCGUAAACGAUGGACGCUAGGUGUGGGGGGGACGAUCCCCCCGUGCCGCAGCCAACGCAUUAAGCGUCCCGCCUGGGGAGUACGGCCGCAAGGCUAAAACUCAAAGGAAUUGACGGGGGCCCGCACAAGCAGCGGAGCAUGUGGCUUAAUUCGAAGCAACGCGAAGAACCUUACCAGGGCUUGACAUAUGGGUGAAGCGGGGGAGACCCCGUGGCCGAGAGGAGCCCAUACAGGUGGUGCAUGGCUGUCGUCAGCUCGUGUCGUGAGAUGUUGGGUUAAGUCCCGCAACGAGCGCAACCCCCGCCGCGUGUUGCCAUCGGGUGAUGCCGGGAACCCACGCGGGACCGCCGCCGUCAAGGCGGAGGAGGGCGGGGACGACGUCAAGUCAUCAUGCCCCUUAUGCCCUGGGCUGCACACGUGCUACAAUGGCCGGUACAGAGGGAUGCCACCCCGCGAGGGGGAGCGGAUCCCGGAAAGCCGGCCCCAGUUCGGAUUGGGGGCUGCAACCCGCCCCCAUGAAGUCGGAGUUGCUAGUAAUCGCGGAUCAGCAUGCCGCGGUGAAUGCGUUCCCGGGCCUUGCACACGCCGCCC